rnacentral:rRNA from 1 species
CGUGCAGCCGGGCAUGCAAGUCAGAUGUGAAAUCUCAGGGCUUAACCCUGAAACUGCAUUUGAAACUGUAUGUCUUGAGUGCCGGAGAGGUAAUCGGAAUUCCUUGUGUAGCGGUGAAAUGCGUAGAUAUAAGGAAGAACACCAGUGGCGAAGGCGGGUUACUGGACGGUAACUGACGGUGAGGCGCGAAAGCGUGGGAGCGAACA